rfam:Pseudozyma antarctica T-34 DNA, contig: scaffold00012.
GGCCGGUUGGCCCAAUGGUAAGGCGUCUGACUACGAAGUUGAGUUGCAAGCUCAGCAGUAAUCAGGAGAUUCUGGGUUCGAGCCCCAGGCUGGUCA